AUGUGCUGAAGGAGAAGAGGAAGCGAGAUUUGAGGGGUGUGGCUGCUGGUGUGGAGAAGACUCUGAAAGAGAGGGUCAUCGAUUGAAUGGAAAAUUGGUGAAUGGGUCUGCUGAAAGUGACAGAGGAAGAUGGUGGAACCAAAUCCAAAGAUAUCAUUUUUUGCUAAUUUUUCUGGGUUUGAUGAAUGAUCCUUUAUGCACCUGAAGAUUGAUGUUGAAGAGUGGGUUUUUGAUGAAGAAGAUAUGCAGAUGAAGAUUUGUAAAUAAUAAUAAGGUG
rnacentral:lncRNA from 1 species